rnacentral:rRNA from 1 species
CCUACGGGAGGCAGCAGUAAGGGAAUAUUGGUCAAUGGACGAAAGUCUGAACCAGCCAUGCCGCGUGAAGGAUUAAGGUCCUCUGGAUUGUAAACUUCUUUUAUAGGGGACGAAAAAAAGGGCAUUCUUGCUCGUCUUGACGGUACCCUGUGAAUAAGCACCGGCUAACUCCGUGCCAGCAGCCGCGGUAAUACGGAGGGUGCAAGCGUUAUCCGGAUUCACUGGGUUUAAAGGGUGCGUAGGCGGGUAGGUAAGUCAGUGGUGAAAUCUCGGAGCGUUAACUCCGAAACUGCCAUUGAUACUAUCUAUCUUGAAUAUUGUGGAGGUUUGCGGGAAUAUGUCAUGUAGCGGUGAAAUGCAUAGAUAUGACAUAGAACACCUAUUGCGAAGGCAGCAGGCUACACAUAUAUUGACGCUGAGGCACGAAAGGCGUGGGGAUCGAAACAGGAUUACGAUACCCUGGUAGUCCACGCCUAACGAUGAUUACUCGACAUACGUGAUACACUAUGUGUGUCUGAGCGAAAGCAUUAAGUAAUCCACCUGGGAAGUACGUCCGCAAGGUANAGAACUGAAAGGAUAGACGNGNGAGAGNGCGAGGACGACGACGAGGGAGGAGG